rnacentral:lncRNA from 1 species
GCUGUGUUUGGAAUUAAUGGGUUCAGCUUCAUUCUGAGCACCGGGGAAGGCUAUUUUAGAAAGCAACUUUCCAGGCUGCGACUGGUCUUCACUGAUGUGGCAAACCCAACCUCUGAGCAGACGGUCUUCAAAUAGAACUGGCCCGGCGUCUGGAAGGCACAGCGGGGCCGCCCCUUUCAGGGCGCAACCCCUGGUGUCCCCCAGCCCUGGGUGACGUCCCGCCUCGCCCUGCCCCCAUCCUGGCUGGCUGGAGGUGUCCUCCAUCCACAGUAGCAGGAAGGCGGUGUGGGGGCGGGGGAGGGCGAGAUCCCUCCGAAAUGUGACAAAGGGAACAGCGCCAGGCUUCUGCCCAACAGCACGACCAAGCGCAUCCCUCCCCCAGGUGACACAAGAUGAAUGCUGAAUCCUAGAAAAAUGGUCAGAAGAGGGACCAGAGUUCAGCCUGUCUGAUCUGGGAUGUGAAUGGACCCCUUGCACCUUCUGACAUACUGGAUGGAGGACUGGGAUGAUUUGGAAUACAAACCACAGAAGUACUUCACUGUUGAGUCCUCAGCUGGAGGUAGCUAUCCUGAGCGCUGGCCACAGGGAACCUCCCCAGUUUCUAGCUGGAUUCCAAUGGUUCCUCCCUGAUGCCGGGGUUGGAUGACUUU